rnacentral:rRNA from 1 species
ACAACUUUCAACAAUGGAUCUCUUGGCUCUCGCAUCGAUGAAGAACGCAGCGAAAUGCGAUAAGUAAUGUGAAUUGCAGAAUUCAGUGAAUCAUCGAAUGUUUGAACGCAUCUUGCGCUCCUUGGUAUUCCUUGGAGCAUGCCUGUUUGAGUGUCAUUAUA